AGUGAACGCUGGCGGUAGGCCUAACACAUGCAAGUCGAACGGCAGCACAGUAAGAUCUUGCUCUUACGGGUGGCGAGUGGCGGACGGGUGAGGAAUACAUCGGAAUCUACUUUUUCUUGGGGGAUAACGUAGGGCAACUUACGCUAAUACCUCAUACGACCUACGGGUGAAUGCAGGGGAUCUUCGGACUUUUCGCGUUUGUAUUAGCCGAUGUCGGAUUAGCUAGUUGGCGGGGUAAAGGCCCACCAAGGCGACGAUCCGUAGCUGGUCUGAGAGGAUGAUCGGCCACACUGGAACUGAGACACGGUCCAGACUCCUACGGGAGGCAGCAGUAGGGAAUAUUGGACAAUGGGCGAAAGCCUGAUCGAGCCAUACCGCGUGAGUGAAGAAGGCCUUCGGAUUGUAAAGCCCUUUUGUUGGGAAAGAAAAGCAGCAGGUGAAAACCCGGCUGUUCUGACGGUACCCAAAGAGUAAGCAACGGCUAACUUCGUG
rnacentral:rRNA from 1 species